rnacentral:piRNA from 1 species
UAGUUCUUUACCAUUAGCAAA